rnacentral:rRNA from 1 species
AACGAACGCUGGCGGCAUGCCUAACACAUGCAAGUCGAACGAGACCUUCGGGUCUAGUGGCGCACGGGUGCGUAACGCGUGGGAACCUGCCCUUAGGUUCGGAAUAACUCCCCGAAAGGGGUGCUAAUACCGGAUAAUGUCUUCGGACCAAAGAUUUAUCGCCUUUGGAUGGGCCCGCGUUGGAUUAGCUAGUUGGUAGGGUAAAAGCCUACCAAGGCGACGAUCCAUAGCUGGUCUGAGAGGAUGAUCAGCCACACUGGGACUGAGACACGGCCCAGACUCCUACGGGAGGCAGCAGUGGGGAAUAUUGGAAAAUGGGCGAGAGCCUGAUCCAGCAAUGCCGCGUGAGUGAUGAAGGCCUUAGGGUUGUAAAGCUCUUUUACCCGGGAUGAUAAUGACAGUACCGGGAGAAUAAGCUCCGGCUAACUCCGUG